CGACGAUCUUCAAUUUUAUCGAACCUUGAAAACAACCACUUGGCCGGACUAACAGUACUGAUCGAUCUGUUAUAACGGUUCAGUUUUCUUCUACUGCUGACUUAAUUGCUCAAGAAUCGACAUUAGAAAUUGUACCCUUGAAGGCUAAUGAGAUGUAACAGAGAGCGUUUUAAAGUCGACAGAGAAGAGUUGCUGAAAAAAGAUUGGUGAUUCAUACAAGAUACUGCUAACGAGAACACAAGUGGAGGAAAUCCUCAACCAAUAGGAUCAAUCUGCCAGGUAACACUUGACAAUUAAAGAGAAAGCAAGUCUUUGGGUCAAGCCCUCAAGUAAACAAGGAAAAGAGUUUUUAAGAAC